CUUAUUGGGCUCCUGUCUGCAGGAUUUACGCGCACGUUGGAACCGAAGAGAGCUCUGUUGUUGCAAUGUUCAGCCCACAAGACCUUACUGGUGAAGGAAUGGGACAAGACCCAUCUUUAUGCAAAGCCAGCGUUACAGUAAUGUCCCAGCAUCUCAUAAUCUAUCCUGGGGAAUUCAGCUGCCUCCCAGGGUGAAUACAGGUAUUCCUGAUGACAGUCUGCCUUCUAUCUUACAGAGCAGCUUGUUGCUAUAUACCAUUGAAAAGCCUUCAGAGCUGAGAGGUACUACUAACCAAUAACCUGCUUGGCUCAAAGGGCCAGCACCUUCUCUCUAAAGCCCAAGAGGAGUUUGAGGAAAACUAGGUGUCUGUGUUCACUCCAGGCUGAAGUUACAGGUGAGUAAACCUAAAUGUAAGGUGGACUAUGCUAAAAAUUCCCAAUGAAGAAACUUUCACAUGUCUUACUCUCUGUCCUAGUCCCAGAGCCUGUAAAGGUGAACCCACUGGGACUGGCUGGGGGAGAAGAGGAAGAUUUGUUCCAGAAGGAACUGUCUGAGGGAUGAUAAAGAUUUCUAUACAGAGAAAGGGAGUAAUAAUCACUUGUUGAAAACAUUGGUUUUAUUUCUUCCAGGUCUGAGC
rnacentral:sRNA from 1 species